UACGUAGGGGCAGCAGUCGUUCGUUCGAUUUGUGGCGUAAAGAGCGUGUAGGCGGCUUUGCAGGUCCGCUGUGAAAACUCGAGGCUCAACCUCGAGCUGUCGGUGGAAACCGUAAAGCUAGAGUCCGGAAGAGGAGAGUGGAAUUCCCGGCGUAGCGGUGAAAUGCGCAGAUAUCGGGAAGAACACCCGUGGCGAAGGCGGCUCUCUGGGACGGUACUGACGCUGAGACGCGAAAAGCGUGGGGAGCGAACAGG
rnacentral:rRNA from 1 species